GACUAAGACCUAUGAUUACUUCAAAUGAAGUGCCCCAAACUUUUCAACAAAUUCAAAAUUUUUAAGUUCUUUGGAAGACAUAAAGACAAAUCCCUCGCAAUUCAAAUAAAUUUUCAAUUUAUUUUCUUUUUCGGCUUGAUUAGAUAUAUGCAACCCCACAGAUCCGUGGUUGCAUUUCUUGGAAAUGAAUUGAGGUCCCACCUUCUUAGAAUUAUACAUAGAGUACUAUAGAGAUCUUUGUAGAUAAAUAAUCCCCCGAGCGGCCACUAUUGACUCUACUAUUUACAGAGGAGAUCAAGGUGACAGAGGGAAGGAAAACAAAAAAUUAGACAGCUAUCACAUUGUAUUCUCCUAGUUAACUAUAAUACAUAAAGUCACACAAACUCGACAAUUUUUUUGGUAGAUUUAAUUCUUAAGAUAGCAGGCCAUCAGCUGAAUGUAUUGUUUUAUCGAAAUUGUUGAUGCACAUGAUUAGCUAAGCAUAUAGAUUGCGAGUCGCAGCUAGUUUCACAUUCAAUGAUGAGUUAAAAAUCCACUCGAUGCUUAUGGCCAUGGGCAC
rnacentral:lncRNA from 1 species